rnacentral:rRNA from 1 species
CAGUCGCCGCGGGAAUACGAAGGGUGCAAGCGUUACUCGGAAUUACUGGGCGUAAAGCGUGCGUAGGUGGUGGUUUAAGUCCGUUGUGAAAGCCCUGGGCUCAACCUGGGAAUUGCAGUGGAUACUGGGUCACUAGAGUGUGGUAGAGGAUAGUGGAAUUUCCGGUGUAGCAGUGAAAUGCGCAGAGAUCGGAAGGAACAUCUGUGGCGAAGGCGACUAUCUGGGCCAAUACUGACACUGAGGCACGAAAGCGUGGGGAGCAAACAGGAUUAGAGACCCCCGUAGUCCCUGUCUCUUAUAC